rnacentral:rRNA from 1 species
AUCCUGGCUCAGAACGAACGCUGGCGGCAGGCCUAACACAUGCAAGUCGAGCGCUCUCUUCGGAGGGAGCGGCGGACGGGUGAGUAACGCGUGGGAAUAUGCCCUUCUCUGCGGAAUAGCCACUGGAAACGGUGAGUAAUACCGCAUACGCCCUUCGGGGGAAAGAUUUAUCGGAGAAGGAUUAGCCCGCGUUAGAUUAGGUAGUUGGUGGGGUAAUGGCCUACCAAGCCUACGAUCUAUAGCUGGUUUUAGAGGAUGAUCAGCCACACUGGGACUGAGACACGGCCCAGACUCCUACGGGAGGCAGCAGUGAGGAAUCUUAGACAAUGGGCGCAAGCCUGAUCUAGCCAUGCCGCGUGUGUGAUGAAGGCCUUAGGGUCGUAAAGCACUUUCGCCAGAGAUGAUAAUGACAGUAUCUGGUAAAGAAACCCCGGCUAACUCCGUGCCAGCAGCCGCGGUAAUACGGAGGGGGUUAGCGUUGUUCGGAAUUACUGGGCGUAAAGCGCACGUAGGCGGAUCAGAAAGUUGGGGGUGAAAUCCCGGGGCUCAACCCCGGAACUGCCUCCAAAACUCCUGGUCUUGUGUUCGAGAGAGGUGAGUGGAAUUCCGAGUGUAGAGGUGCGCACAUAGAUAUUCGGAGGAACACCAGUGGCGAAGGCGGCUCACUGGCUCGAUAUCUGA